CUAACGGAGGAGGGAAGCGUGUUCCACAGGAACGGUGCAGCCCUCGAGAAAUCUUGAAGGCGAGCAUCAGAGGUGGGAGUACGGACAGAAGAUAGACGUAAGGGCCUAGACGGGACAUACUUGUGUAUAAGGGAGGAUAGAUAGGUGGGAGCAGCAUUAUGUAGAGAUUUGAAAGCAAGAACCAGAAUUUUAAAUUGAGCUCUAUAUUUUAUAGGAAGCCAAUGUAGG
rnacentral:lncRNA from 1 species